UUAAAUUGAAGAGUUUGAUCAUGGCUCAGAUUGAACGCUGGCGGCAGGCCUAACACAUGCAAGUCGAACGGUAACAGGAAACAGCUUGCUGUUUCGCUGACGAGUGGCGGACGGGUGAGUAAUGUCUGGGAAACUGCCUGAUGGAGGGGGAUAACUA
rnacentral:rRNA from 1 species